rnacentral:rRNA from 1 species
UACAGAGGGUGCGAGCGUUAAUCGGAAUUACUGGGCGUAAAGCGUGCGCAGGCGGUCGUUCAAGUCGCGUGUGAAAGCCCCCGGCUCAACUGGGGAGGGUCACGCGAUACUGAUCGACUCGAAGGCAGGAGAGGGUAGUGGAAUUCCCGGUGUAGUGGUGAAAUGCGUAGAUAUCGGGAGGAACACCAGUGGCGAAGGCGACUACCUGGCCUGUUCUUGACGCUGAGGCGCGAAAGCUAGGGGAGCAAACGGG